GAUGAACGCUGGCGGCGUGCCUAAUACAUGCAAGUCGAGCGAACAGACGAGGAGCUUGCUCCUUUGACGUUAGCGGCGGACGAGUGAGUAACACGUAGGUAACCUACCUAUAAGACUGGGAUAACUUCGGGAAACCGGAGCUAAUACCGGAUAAUAUUUCGAACCGCAUGGUUCGAUAGUGAAAGAUGGCUUUGCUAUCACUUAUAGAUGGACCUGCGCCGUAUUAGCUAGUUGGUAAGGUAACGGCUUACCAAGGCAACGAUACGUAGCCGACCUGAGAGGGUGAUCGGCCACACUGGAACUGAGACACGGUCCAGACUCCUACGGGAGGCAGCAGUAGGGAAUCUUCCGCAAUGGGCGAAAGCCUGACGGAGCAACGCCGCGUGAGUGAUGAAGGUCUUCGGAUCGUAAAACUCUGUUAUUAGGGAAGAACAAACGUGUAAGUAACUGUGCACGUCUUGACGGUACCUAAUCAGAAAGCCACGGCUAACUACGUG
rnacentral:rRNA from 1 species